CCUACGGGGGGCAGCAGUGAGGUAUAUUGGUCAAUGGGCGAGAGCCUGAACCAGCCACGUAGCGUGAAGGAUGACUGCCCUACGGGCUUUAAACUUCUUUUAUAAAGGAAUAAAGUGAGGCACGUGUGCCUUUUUGUAUGUACUUUAUGAAUACGGAUCGGCUAACUCGGUGCCAGCAGCUGCGGUAAUACGGUGGUACCGAGCGUUAUCCGGGUUUAUUGGGUUUAAAGGGAGCGUAGAUGGGUUGUUAAGUCAGUUGUGAAAGGUUGCGGCUCAACCGUAAAAUUGCAAUUGAUACUGGCAGUCUUGAGUACAGUUGAGGUAGGCGGAAUUCGUGGUGUAGCGGUGAAAUGCUUAGAUAUCACGAAGAACUCCGAUUGAGAAGGCAGCUUACUAAACUGCCACUGACAUUGAUGCUCGAAAGUGUGGGUAUCAAACAGGAUUAGAUACCCGGGUAGUC
rnacentral:rRNA from 1 species